rnacentral:rRNA from 1 species
GUCCACGCCGUAAACGAUGAAUACUAGGUGUUGGGGAGCAUGGCUCUUCGGUGCCGCAGCAAACGCAAUAAGUAUUCCACCUGGGGAGUACGUUCGCAAGAAUGAAACUCAAAGGAAUUGACGGGGACCCGCACAAGCGGUGGAGCAUGUGGUUUAAUUCGAUGCAACGCGAAGAACCUUACCUGGUCUUGACAUCCACGGAAGUUUUCAGAGAUGAGAAUGUGCCUUCGGGAACCGUGAGACAGGUGCUGCAUGGCUGUCGU